GAUGAACGCUGGCGGCGUGCCUAAUACAUGCAAGUCGAGCGAACAGACGAGGAGCUUGCUCCUCUGACGUUAGCGGCGGACGGGUGAGUAACACGUGGAUAACCUACCUAUAAGACUGGGAUAACUUCGGGAAACCGGAGCUAAUACCGGAUAAUAUAUUGAACCGCAUGGUUCAAUAGUGAAAGACGGUUUUGCUGUCACUUAUAGAUGGAUCCGCGCCGCAUUAGCUAGUUGGUAAGGUAACGGCUUACCAAGGCAACGAUGCGUAGCCGACCUGAGAGCGUGAUCAGCCACACUGGAACUGAGACACGGUCCAGACUCCUAAGGGAGGCAGCAGUAGGGAAUCUUCCACAAUGGGCGAAAGCCUGACGGAGCAACGCCGCGUGAGUGAUGAAGGUCUUCGGAUCGUAAAACACUGUUAUUAGGGACGAACAAAUGUGUAAGUAACUAUGCACGUCUUGACGGUACCUAAUCAGAAAGCCACGGCUAACUACGUG
rnacentral:rRNA from 1 species